rnacentral:sRNA from 1 species
AGAAAGUCGGCCCGCGUAACACGCAGUUUUUCCAUAGCCUCUGGAUCCACGUGAACCUUGGAUCGUAAAAAAGCAAAUGAUGAUUGGGGGUAUCAAACCGAAGAGCUUAGCCAAGUGCGACAUUGAAUGCUGCCUGAGUGUCUGCCUGGACUUUGCUGGCUUGGAGGGAUCGUAGGACUCUGGAAAUGGAGAGGGGGUGUGUGGAGAGUUGCGGUGUUUGUUCGUUAAUUAGUGAACAUAUUUCGUAUAAUCGGUGUCAUAUUAGUUAUAAAUUGGAUAAAAGCGCAAAACGACAACUUAA